AUUCUCUUCCUCUCUCAUUCUUUUUCCUCUCUCUCUCUCUCCCUCCCCAAGAAUCAUCUGAAAUACCAGGUAGUCAAAAAUAAAAAGAAAGGAAGAAAAAGGAAAGAGAAGAAAAGAAAUACCAAGUAGCCAUCUAGGUACCUUGGAGACAGAAGAGCUAGCUGGACACAGAGUCAAGUCACAGAGAUAUAAGAGAGCUUAGAGAUCACUUCCCUCAGUUAAGAGGUGAUGAAAGACAAGUCCUUUGGCUUGCAAUGUCUAGAUUAGGUCACUGAUGUAAGGAGAGAGAGCAGUGGAAUUGGUGUCAGGAAGACAUGGGUUCUAAUCUCUUCUUAGAUAUUGAUCACUUGAGCUCUCUCAGCCUCAGUUUCCACAUCUGUGAAACAAGAAUAAUAAUAGCACCUCCCUCCUAGGGUUGUUGUAAGGCCCACAGAAGUUAGUUAUUCUUAUUGCCAUCACCUGCCCUAGGUGUCUCAUUUCCCAGUCUUCUGUCCUUCAUGCAGUCAAACUCUGAAAAUGCAUUUUGAGGGCCCUGGACAGUCCUUCUAGAGCAUUCAUUCCAAAAGGGCAAACCCAAGGUGUGUGAAGACAUACGUGUUCCUUUGUUCCUUUCCUCCUCCCCUGGGCUCUCUUUUUCUCUCUGACUCACUGGGGCUAUCUCUCUCAUUAAUCUCUGUCCCUCUCUCUGUCAUCCCGUCAGGCUUUGUGGGCAUCAUUUGGGCCGCUGGAUCUCGGAGCUGGAAGGGCCCGAGAGGCCAUGUGGUCCAAAGCCCAGGUAAAGAGUGGGGGGGGGGACAUCCCUAUGGAGGGCUCUUUCAAGCCGGGCUUGGAGAGCUUCAAUUAAAGAGUGCUGCACCCUGGGGCCAUUCAUUCCAUUUUUGGGCAGCUCUAAUUGUUGGGAAAUUUCUCCUCCCACCAAGUCCAAAUCUGCAACUUCCACCCCACUCUCUGGAUCUGCCCUUAAGGGCUCAGAAAAAGAUAUCUAAUCCUUCUUCCUUGUGGCAGCCUUUCAAAUACCUGAAGAUAGCAUCAACUCUUCAGUCUUCUUUCUUCUCCGGGCUAAACAUCCCUACUUCCUCCAGCAGCUGCCAGGCUGACUCUCUUUCCUCUAAGUUCUUUCCCUCUCCUCCCUUCUUCUCCCCAAUUCCUGUAAGCUACCCAGGAGGCCUUGGGUCUCCCCAUUCUGGUCUCCCUGAAGCAGUAGAAUCUUAGGUCAGACAAUUUCCAAGAAGAUUCUGGGAGCUAUUGUCUCCAGAAGACAACUGGGCGUCAAGGAGGGGAAGGGAUUUUGAUCAUGGGAACCCAGUCCUUUAUCAUUGUGGGCCAGGGGAUAGAUUGCUCUGUAAACUGGGAGGCUGCUGGCACUGACCUCUGUAGGACUCACAAUAGGGAAAGGGUUUUAGUUCUCCCUCCCCCAUCCAAGAUCCUAGGUUGGCCUCUUUCUUGGUGACGAGUUCUACUUGUGUUAAAAGGACUAUAUUUAUGACCUCUGGUCUCUGUUGCCCGACUUUCUUUGGGAAGAGAGAUGUCCCAGUCUGACACGAUUACUGGAGAGUAGUGGAACCCUGGACACACGACUUCCUCUGACCAUAUUGAGGAUCUCAAAGCACUUUGGAUUUAUUCCCAUUCCCAAGACUUGACCUCUAGUCUAGAAAUUGGAGGAGGCCCAUAUUUCUAGACCAAGACUUAAGAUACUCUAGCCCCAUUGCUCAACAGUGUAGACCUGAUUCAGGCAAGAGACUGCAUUGAAAUCUCUGGAAUUCAUGGAAUCAAAGGCCAUGGGAACUUGGGUGGUGGGAUCUACCUCCCUUCCUACCAUUAUUUGUACCCCAGAAUUUUGAAUAUUUGUUCUCAGGGGCCUUUUCUGGGCCUCAGGAUCUUCAUCUAAGGAGAUCUUGAAGGGCCUUUGCAGCUCUGAAUGCUCACUCUGAUGCUACUAUCUCCAGUUGGGAUGACCCAAGAAGGAAGGGGCCUGGACCUGACUCCUAGCUGGAAGAGCAGGCUCCUGAAAUGGACAUGCUCUCUGGAGGCCACCUUGAAGGCCAGUGUCCCAUCUCCAUGAUCAUCUGCAUUUGGCGACCAGCUUCUUUGGAGAAUGUCUCUCAUGUCUCACCUUUUCUCUCCUUCCUUAUCUAGGACACUGGGCUCCUUGCCUCUGGCUGAGUCGGGGGCAAAGGCUGGAGGAGGCUUUUGCUGAAUGGACUCUUUGCCCUCACUGGGAAACUGAGGUCCACUGACUCGAACAAGGUCACACAGGUGGCAGCAUCAAAACCAGCCUCAAACUCUGAUUCCAAGUCCAAGGAUAAACGGCUUCUACUGGCAACUACAUAACCCCGGUUUAGAGAAAUUAAUUGAAUGGAUGAUGAAAACGAAUAGACUUGCCCAAGGUCCCAUAGUAAGUGCCUUGUUUCCCCGUGUGAGGGACAGAAAUCUGACCUCUCCUCCUUCCUUCCACGAUGGAGAUCUAACCGGAACAUCUCCCUUCUUGGAUCCUGGGACCAGCUAUGCGCUGGAAGGAUUAUGGAGGAUUAUUUUACAGAUGGAGAAACUGAGGAACGGGACAAUGAAAACCACUGGCUCUGUCUUCAUUUUAGCCUUAAAACUCUAUCCAAAUGCUAGCUGUUGUUAUUAUUACUAUUAUUAGUCAGUGCACCCAUUCGUCUGCUCCCCCGCCCACACUUGGGGAAGUAACCUAGCUCCUCUCUGCGAACCAAGGCUAUUUGCAAUUCAUUUCUUCCCCCUGAAGUAGCUCCAGGGAAGGCAGAGACAUGUCAUUCCCACCCGCCGCCACAGGGAGGCUCCCGAACUCAUUUUUUCUGCCUUUCCGAAGGAUCGAUGCAAACACUCCCAGAAUCCCCAGCCCUGGCACAUCAUUGUGCAGUUCAUCCCGUCUGUGUUCCUGCGUCUGGGCUGGGCAAAGCCGGCCAACUCUUACGAUCGAGGGAGCUGCUUAGUGAAGUCAUCGGAAGAGCCCGAGGUUCUGGUGGACCACACAGGAAGGCAGCAGCUUCCAGUGUUUCAUCAUCUAGUGCUUCAGACUUCUCCCUGGCUGAAAAUUGUUCCAUCCGGGCAAGAUGCUUCCUUCCUGAUGUCAGGGAGACUCUGGGACAUGGUAGAAUUGGAAUUCAGGUGGCUCUCUAGGGCUCCUUCCACUCCAUCAAAUGACCCCUAGCCCUGAAGACUGUCCAAAGCAGAAUCCUCAUCCAAGGGCUCUUCUUUCCAUUCCCACAAUUUGCACCCACUGUGAUUAGCCCAUACAGGGAGUCAAUCACCCACUUCCACCAUUCCCCUCUGUGGUGUAUCCUCAGAAUCCUGGAAGGAAUGAAUAAACACCCUUACUGUCUGUUUUAGAAUCCAUGCUGUAGUGUGGAUUGGCUCCAAGACAGAAGAGUGGUAAGGACUAGGCAGAUGGUGUAAGUGACUUGCCCAGGGUCACAUAUCAAGAAAGUAUCUUGGGCUAGAUUUGAACCCGGAGCCUCUGGUCUCCAGGCCUGGCUUUCAAUUCUCUAAGCCACCUAGCUGCCCCCCCUUGGAGGAUAAUUUUAAAGUGCCUGCUAAAUAGAAGACCCUAGUGAUACAAAGAAGCAGUCAAUGCCCUCAGGAAACAACAUCCUAACAAGACGGAUAUCUAAGGUCAGAUUUGAAUUUAGGACCUCUAGGGUAUCCAUUGAACUACCUACAUGCCCCUUAUAUUUAGUUUUCAGUUGAUCUUCACAAUGAUUCUCUGAGGUAGAUGCUAUUAUUAUCAAUGUCUGACACAUGAGGGAACAGAGGCUGAGAAAGGGUAAAGGACUUGAAGCUCCCUAAGCCAACCCUCCUACUCUACCCACACCGAGGUCACACUACACACUAGUGAACUGAGAUUUAACCCCAGGUCUUCUGAACUCUAUCUACUACAUCUGUGUUGGUGAACCUAUAGCUGCUUCCUUCCCCCUCUCCAUCAUGCCUGAGGACAUCACCCACUCCUCUGCUCAACAGUCUGGGGUAAGGGAGGGGGGACUCGAAUGCAACAUGAGGAUUGCAGUUUGGGCACUAGGUCUCUACAAGGUUUGCCAUCACUGUACUACAUCAUCUAGCCACCAAAUGAAAGGGAAUAAUAGGAUGAGACCCAGCUUGUGAUGAGACAAAAAGGAGUGAACCUCUUAUCCUAGAAACAAUUAGAGCUUUUUACUCAAAGUAAAAAUUCUGUGGUCAUAUCCGCGUGCUAGGAAUAUUAGUUUGGCAGCUAGGUUAAGGAUGGAUUUGUGGAGCAACUAGGUAGCCUGGUGGAUAAAGGACCACUCCUGAAAUCAGUAGAACCCCGGGUUCAAAUCUGGCCUCAGACACUUCCUAGCUGUAUGACCCCAGGCAAGUCACUUAACUCCAAAUGCCUCUCCCCUGCAGCUCAGUCAAUCCUAGAAUUGAUACUAAGACAGAAGGUAGAGGUUUAAAGAAAAAAAGGAAGGAUUCAAGUCAAGAAGACCAAAUGAAGUGUAUUGGUAGAGCAAGAGAAAAUGAAGACCUGUUUCCCCCUAAAACUUUCCAUUUUGUCAUUCCUCAUAGCCCAAUAAAAAUAACAAUACGAAAGGGAAAAAAAAGAUUAUUGUUGUUCAGUUGUUCCAGUUGUGUCCCACUCUUCCUGAAUCCAUCAGGAGAUUUCUUGGCAAAGAUACUGGAAUGGUUU